GCCAGCCCGCUCAGAAACUUAAAGGAAUUGACGGGGGCCCGGCACAAGCGGUGGAGCAUGUGGUUUAAUUCGAUGAUACGCGAGGAACCUUACCUGGGCUCAAAUGUAUGUUGACGUAUUCUGAAAGGGAUACUUCUUCGGACAAUAUACAAGGUGCUGCAUGGUUGUCGUCAGCUCGUGCCGUGAGGUGUCGGGUUAAGUCCCAUAACGAGCGCAACCCCUACCUUUAGUUGCCAUCAGGUUAAGCUGGGGACUCUAAAGGAACUGCCUACGCAAGUAGUGAGGAAGGCGGGGAUGACGUCAAAUCAGCACGGCCCUUACGUCCAGGGCUACACACGUGCUACAAUGGCCGAUACAGAGGGCAGCUACCUGGUGACAGGAUGCAAAUCUCCAAAGUCGGUCUCAGUUCGGAUCGGAGUCUGCAACCCGACUCCGUGAAGUUGGAUUCGCUAGUAAUCGCGCAUCAGCCAUGGCGCGGUGAAUACGUUCCCGGGCCUU
rnacentral:rRNA from 1 species